rnacentral:rRNA from 1 species
UAUACAUGCAGUCGAGCGGACAGAUGGGAGCUUGCUCCCUGAUGUUAGCGGCGGACGGGUGAGUAACACGUGGGUAACCUGCCUGUAAGACUGGGAUAACUCCGGGAAACCGGGGCUAAUACCGGAUGCUUGUUUGAACCGCAUGGUUCAAACAUAAAAGGUGGCUUCGGCUACCACUUACAGAUGGACCCGCGGCGCAUUAGCUAGUUGGUGAGGUAACGGCUCACCAAGGCAACGAUGCGUAGCCGACCUGAGAGGGUGAUCGGCCACACUGGGACUGAGACACGGCCCAGACUCCUACGGGAGGCAGCAGUAGGGAAUCUUCCGCAAUGGACGAAAGUCUGACGGAGCAACGCCGCGUGAGUGAUGAAGGUUUUCGGAUCGUAAAGCUCUGUUGUUAGGGAAGAACAAGUACCGUUCGAAUAGGGCGGUACCUUGACGGUACCUAACCAGAAAGCCACGGCUAACUACGUGCCAGCAGCCGCGGUAAUACGUAGGUGGCAAGCGUUGUCCGGAAUUAUUGGGCGUAAAGGGCUCGCAGGCGGUUUCUUAAGUCUGAUGUGAAAGCCCCCGGCUCAACCGGGGAGGGUCAUUGGAAA